UAUUCCUCGAACAUUUUACCCUUCUACUCCGACUCUUCCAAUUCACUAUGUAACUACCCCUUUCGUGUUUCAAAAAAAAAAAAAACUACCCCUUUCAUAUUCUUUCUUUCUCUCCCGAGUCAUCUCCUUCUGAAACUCGAUCUGAUCACUGAGAAUCUACGACGACGAAGAAGGUGGAGGAGGAAGAGGAAGAAUGAGAAUCUCAGGCUAUGUAAUCGUUGUUCUAUCUGUAACUGUAUUCUAUUGCGUCGAUCGUAGCGUUCACGCGCGUCCCGUCGUCCUCGUCCUCUCCAUCGACGAUCUCAACAGCGGCGGCGACGAUCCCGGAGUCGGAGACUCCUCUAACUUCGACGAAUUCGGCGAAUCCGAACCCAAAUCCGAAGAGGAGCUCGAUCCUGGCUCGUGGCGACAGAACUUUCGAUAGGUUGACGGAGGAAGCGGUGGAGGAGAUAGAGGCGGCUUCUUCAUCCGGAGAUCCGCACUCGCAGUCGCUGAUGGGCUUCGUCUACGGGACGGGGAUGAUGAGGGAGAAAAGCAAAAGCAAAUUCUUCCUUCACCAUAACUUUGCUGCUGAAGGUGGGAACAUGCAGUCAAAGAUGACACUUGCCUUCACGUAUCUGCAACAAGAUAUGCAUGAUAAGGCUGUGAAACUAUAUGCUGAACUAGCAGAAACCGAUGUGAAUAGCUUCCUGAUCUCAAAGGACUCUCCCGUGGUGGAACCAACUAGGAUCCACAGCGGGACUGAAGAAAACAAAGGCGCUCUAAGGAAAUCACGAGGGGAGGAGGAUGAGGAUUUUCAGAUAUUGGAGUAUCAAGCGCAGAAAGGCAAUGCUGCGGCUAUGUACAAGAUUGGACUGUUCUACUACUUUGGUCUGCGAGGGUUAAGGCAUGAUCACACCAAGGCGUUGCACUAGUUUUCGAAGGCGGUGGAGAAAGGAGAGCCGAGGCAUAAAGUUAAAUACAAUAAACAUUGUUACAGUCGGUCGCCUCCUCUGCCUCUGGGAUUCGCAUAACAUCAAGAAGAAUGAUGAAUAUAUGGGAAUCAGCCUCCUCUUACUAUAUGAACAGAUGUAGUUGGCCAAAUCCUUUCCGUUCAAGGCUCUGAUCUGAACAACUCUGCAGCAACAACUCGACUUGCCGUCCGUUUCCUCACUGACCCGUAAGCAAUGAAUUCAUCUUUAAAUAGUUUUGAUCCUUAUCUCAUUUAGCUCUUUCUUUCAAAUAAUUCUGUUAUGGUGUAAUGGAAUGGAAUUCACCACGGUGAAUCCAACAAUAUUUGGAGGUAAUCUCUAUGACUCUAUCUAAACUCAACACCAGCAACAAAAUUUUACUUUGACAACACCAUUCAUGCUACCAAAGAGUUUACAAACAGCUUUGUGGUGCUGCAGCGGAGGUCUUUCCCGAGUUGAUACCAUGGAAGGAAGAAAAAAAAAGAGUUCGUAUCAAUUGGAGAACUUCACACGUUCAUUGCCAACUCCAGUGAACAGGUAAAACUCACGCUUUCAACAAUCUUUAGUACUCCUAUGUGGCUUCAAAAUAGUAACAAGUAAUGUUAGGACUUUUCUCCCCAUGAAGACAGAAUAAGCUGAUUUUCUCUGUACGAGUCGUCCAGGAAAAUGGCUUGUCGUUUGUAUCUUGCACAGGUUGCAACAGGAAGCUCGCAAAAUCUCUCUGGUGCAACAGAUGUGUUUCUCCUAAUGCACCGGGGUCAUCGGGUAUGUACUGUUCUUCCCGAUCCAUAUUUAAAGGAACACCCUAAUUUCAAUAUAUGUGCACGUUUGACGUACUUUCUCUGCUGUUCUGUGUGAACUAGCUGUUGAUGACGGAAAGGAAAGUGCAACUUUUGUUGUCUUUGACAGGGAGAUGAUCAAACUCAUCAAGAAAGAGGCAAAGUCUGGCUCCUGCGUAGAUACGUUUUAACUUUUCAGAUUGGUUUUAAAUUUUUUUCCCUUACUCUAAAUGCCCCCACAAACGCCAAGCCUACUACAGAUUAGUGGCAGUGGGAGGAAUGGAGCUACCAAAAUGCCUUGAGGAGCUAGCUGGUAAUGGAUACCUUUUCAGCUACGUGUAACUCCAUAUAAUUUCACCUCCAACCACCACACAUUCACCGUCUCUGCCAUUAGUGACAACCUCUUCUUUGGCCCUCAGAGUGGCAACAACAACAAAGCUCUUUUUUCUGAUUUAAUGUCCCACUGUUUUGUAAAGUGGGAACAGCAACAAAGCUCCAGUCGUGGAUCUCAAAUCUGGACAACCAACAGCAUUUGCCAGCUCCGCUGGUGAUGCGGCGAAGAUAGCACUAGGAAAUGAUGGAGCAAAUCAGCCAGGUUCUGCAGACUGCAGGUAACGACAAAACCCGCAAACGCCCACGUGACUGAUAGUAUCAAGGCUAUCAAACCGUCAACUUCACUUAGCUUUUGUCUCAUUUUAAUUUAUUAUAUCCAUAUAUUUUCCCUACUUUGAACUUUGGUUUUUGGAUUUUCUGAAAAUUUCUCUUAAUUAAAUAAUUAAAGUAACGUUGACGUGUC